CGGCCUCCUGCUUGCGCACAAUCACGUCUCGGCCGUGCAGGUACAGACGCACAGAGGACUGCAGCGUGGUGUGGCUGUCAAAGGACUUCUGCAGCUGCAGCACACGCAGCCCAAGCGCAGGCAGGCGGGCAAGGAUGGAGAGCCGGUAGACAUCAGGCACCACAUCUGUGGCAGAGCCCCAUUGUGCAGAGAGCUGGGCAGGCAGCGGCUGCCCGUCCUCAGACAGCAC
rnacentral:lncRNA from 1 species